GUCGAGUACUUCACUCGUUUCAAAACAAACGUUUGACCGUUCAUUUUAUUUAAAAAAAUUUUAUGAUUACUUUUUUAUUAUUAGAUGGUAAAACAUAAAUAGUAUUUUAUGUGUGACUAUUUUUUUUAAUUUUUUUAAAUAAAAUAAACGGUUAAAUGUUAAACACGGAUACUUACGACAUCACUUAUU
rnacentral:pre_miRNA from 1 species